rnacentral:rRNA from 1 species
AACGAACGCUGGCGGCAGGCCUAACACAUGCAAGUCGAACGCUCCGCAAGGGGAGUGGCGCACGGGUGAGUAACACGUGGGAACCUACCUUCUGGUACGGAACAACCAAGGGAAACUUUGGCUAAGACCGUAUACGACCUCCGGGUGAAAGAUUGAUCGCCGGAAGAGGGGCCCGCGUCCGAUUAGGUAGUUGGUGAGGUAACGGCUCACCAAGCCUUCGAUCGGUAGCUGGUCUGAGAGGAUGACCAGCCACACUGGGACUGAGACACGGCCCAGACUCCUACGGGAGGCAGCAGUGAGGAAUAUUGGUCAAUGGCCGAAAGGCUGAACCAGCAACGCCGCGUGAGGGAUGAAGAUCUAAGGAUCGUAAACCUCUGUUAGAAGGACGAAUAACCCAUGGUGAAUAAUCAGUGGGGCCUGACGGUACCUUCAGAGAAAGCCCCGGCUAACUCCGUGCCAGCCGCCGCUGUAAU